AGUGAACGCUGGCGGCAGGCCUAACACAUGCCAGUCGAACGGCAGCACAGUAAGAGCUUGCUCUUACGGGUGGCGAGUGGCGGACGGGUGAGGAAUACAUCGGAAUCUACUUUUUCGUGGGGGAUAACGUAGGGAAACUUACGCUAAUACCGCAUACGACCUACGGGUGAAAGCAGGGGAUCUUCGGACCUUGCGCGAUUGAAUGAGCCGAUGUCGGAUUAGCUAGUUGGCGGGGUAAAGGCCCACCAAGGCGACGAUCCGUAGCUGGUCUGAGAGGAUGAUCAGCCACAUGGAACUUGGGACACGGUCCAGACUCUUACGGGAGGCAGCAUGGGGAAAUUUUGGACAAGGGCGCAAGCCUGAUCCAGCCAUACCGCGUGGGUGAAGAAGGCCUUCGGGUUGUAAAGCCCUUUUGUUGGGAAAGAAAAGCAGCAGGUUAAUACCCCGCUGUUCUGACGGUACCCAAAGAAUAAGCACCGGCUAACUUCGUG
rnacentral:rRNA from 1 species